rnacentral:rRNA from 1 species
GGGUUGUGAGGUUAAGCGACUAAGCGUACACGGUGGAUGCCUAGGCAGUCAGAGGCGAUGAAGGGCGUGCUAAUCUGCGAUAAGCGUCGGUAAGCUGAUAUGAA